GGUGUAAACCAGCAUGAAUUCGUCACUGAUGCCCCUCCUGCAACACCGCCAGGAAGCUUUCGUAUCUUGCUGGCACCAUCUGGGGAAGACCUAGAGGACCUCAGGCCUACAACAGCAAACAGAGAGGCCUCGGCCAAUCAACAGGCAGUCCAGGUUUUCAAGUUGAGUUCAAACAGACCCACAGGAAGCCAAUCAGCGAGUGUAGCCCCGCCCACGACUCUUAGUUGAGGCCAAUCAUAAGCCUCAAAGAGCCAAAACACAGCGAC
rnacentral:lncRNA from 1 species